ensembl:snoRNA
GCAUGGUAACAGAUUUGCAGUGGGUCCAUCUGUGUGGGCCUUUCAUAGUGUACCCAGGCAAGAGCAAAGUUCCACCUCGAACCAUUGCCAGCCUGUCCUGUGGGUUGAGAAUGCUGGAGGAAGUGGCACAGUU